rnacentral:rRNA from 1 species
UACGUAGGGUGCGAGCGUUGUUCGGAGUUACUGGGCGUAAAGGGUGCGUAGGCGGUUGUUUAAGUUUGGUGUGAAAUCUCCCGGCUCAACUGGGAGGGUGCGCCGAAUACUGAAUGACUAGAGUGCGGGAGAGGAGAGUGGAAUUCCUGGUGUAGCGGUGAAAUGCGUAGAUAUCAGGAGGAACACCGGUGGUGUAGACGGCUCUCUGGACCGUAACUGACGCUGAGGCACGAAAGCGUGGGUAGCAAACAGG